AUAUCAGUAAGCGGAGGAAAAGAAACUAACAAGGAUUCCCGUAGUAACGGCGAGUGAACUGGGAUCAGCUCAAAUUUAAAAUCUGGCGGUCUCCGGCCGUCCGAGUUGUAAUCUAGAGAAGUGUUAUCCGCGCUGGACCGUGUACAAGUCUCCUGGAAUGGAGCGUCAUAGAGGGUGAGAAUCCCGUCUUUGACACGGACUGCCAGGGCUUUGUGAUGCGCUCUCGAAGAGUCGAGUUGUUUGGGAAUGCAGCUCAAAAUGGGUGGUAAAUUCCAUCUAAAGCUAAAUACUGGCGAGAGACCGAUAGCGCACAAGUA
rnacentral:rRNA from 1 species